rnacentral:rRNA from 1 species
CGGCAGGCCUAACACAUGCAAGUCGAACGGUAGCACAGAGAGCUUGCUCUCGGGUGACGAGUGGCGGACGGGUGAGUAAUGUCUGGGAAACUGCCCGAUGGAGGGGGAUAACUACUGGAAACGGUAGCUAAUACCGCAUAAUGUCGCAAGACCAAAGUGGGGGACCUUCGGGCCUCACACCAUCGGAUGUGCCCAGAUGGGAUUAGCUAGUUGGUGAGGUAAUGGCUCACCAAGGCGACGAUCCCUAGCUGGUCUGAGAGGAUGACCAGCCACACUGGAACUGAGACACGGUCCAGACUCCUACGGGAGGCAGCAGUGGGGAAUAUUGCACAAUGGGCGCAAGCCUGAUGCAGCCAUGCCGCGUGUAUGAAGAAGGCCUUCGGGUUGUAAAGUACUUUCAGCGAGGAGGAAGGCAUUAAGGUUAAUAACCUUAGUGAUUGACGUUACUCGCAGAAGAAGCACCGGCUAACUCCGUGCCAGCAGCCGCGGUAAUACGGAGGGUGCAAGCGUUAAUCGGAAUUACUGGGCGUAAAGCGCACGCAGGCGGUCUGUCAAGUCAGAUGUGAAAUCCCCGGGGCUCAACCUGGGAACUGCAUUCGAAACUGGCAGGCUAGAGUCUUGUAGAGGGGGGUAGAAUUCCAGGUGUAGCGGUGAAAUGCGUAGAGAUCUGGAGGAAUACCGGUGGCGAAGGCGGCCCCCUGGACAAAGACUGACGCUCAGGUGCGAAAGCGUGGGGAGCAAACAGGAUUAGAUACCCUGGUAGUCCACGCCGUAAACGAUGUCUAUUUGGAGGUUGUUCCCUUGAGGAGUGGCUUCCGGAGCUAACGCGUUAAAUAGACCGCCUGGGGAGUACGGCCGCAAGGUUAAAACUCAAAUGAAUUGACGGGGGCCCGCACAAGCGGUGGAGCAUGUGGUUUAAUUCGAUGCAACGCGAAGAACCUUACCUACUCUUGACAUCCACGGAAUUUAGCAGAGAUGCUUUAGUGCCUUCGGGAACCGUGAGACAGGUGCUGCAUGGCUGUCGUCAGCUCGUGUUGUGAAAUGUUGGGUUAAGUCCCGCAACGAGCGCAACCCUUAUCCUUUGUUGCCAGCGGUUCGGCCGGGAACUCAAAGGAGACUGCCAGUGAUAAACUGGAGGAAGGUGGGGAUGACGUCAAGUCAUCAUGGCCCUUACGAGUAGGGCUACACACGUGCUACAAUGGCAUAUACAAAGAGAAGCGACCUCGCGAGAGCAAGCGGACCUCAUAAAGUAUGUCGUAGUCCGGAUUGGAGUCUGCAACUCGACUCCAUGAAGUCGGAAUCGCUAGUAAUCGUAGAUCAGAAUGCUACGGUGAAUACGUUCCCGGGCCUUGUACACACCGCCCGUCACACCAUGGGAGUGGGUUGCAAAAGAAGUAGGUAGCUUAACCUUCGGGAGGGCGCUUACCACUUUGUGAUUCAUGACUGGGGUGAAGUC